GAUUUCUACAGAGGCAGACAAAGGCUUGACUCCGUUUAUCACAGCUGUUCUUCCGCCUCUUCCUGCAAACUCAUUCCAACUUGAAUCUGAUUUCAGACAGUUGAAAAGUUCUCCAGAUAUGUUGUAUCAGUAUUUGAAGCAAAUUGAACCAUCCUUAUAUCCUAAGUUGUUCCAGAAAAAUCUAGAUCCAGAUGUAUUCAACCAGAUCAUUAAAAUUCUGCAUGACUUUUACAUUGAGAAAGAAAAACCAUCACUCAUUUUUGAAAUUUUGCAAAGGCUCUCUGAAUUAUGACGAUUUGAUAUGGCCGUGAUGUUUAUGUCAGAACCUGAGAAAAAAAUUGCACGUGUAUUGUUCAAUCACAUAGAUAAAUCAGGAUUGAAGAAUACGUCUCUUGAAGAACUUAAGAAAAGAUAUGGUGGUU